UAAGUUGCAGGGUAUAGACCCGAAACCCGGUGAUCUAGCCAUGGGCAGGUUGAAGGUUGGGUAACACUAACUGGAGGACCGAACCGACUAAUGUUGAAAAAUUAGCGGAUGACCUGUGGCUGGGGGUGAAAGGCCAAUCAAACCGGGAGAUAGCUGGUUCUCCCCGAAAGCUAUUUAGGUAGCGCCUCGUGAAUUCAUCUCCGGGGGUAGAGCACUGUUUCGGCUAGGGGGCCAUCCCGGCUUACCAACCCGAUGCAAACUGCGAAUACCGGAGAAUGUUAUCACGGGAGACACACGGCGGGUGCUAACGUCCGUCGUGAAGAGGGAAACAACCCAGACCGCCAGCUAAGGUCCCAAAGUCAUGGUUAAGUGGGAAACGAUGUGGGAAGGCCCAGACAGCCAGGAUGUUGGCUUAGAAGCAGCCAUCAUUUAAAGAAAGCGUAAUAGCUCACUGGUCGAGUCGGCCUGCGCGGAAGAUGUAACGGGGCUAAACCAUGCACCGAAGCUGCGGCAGCGAACGUAUCACCCAAGACAACUUUACGGAGUUGACGAUUGACGGAGCGAAGCGACGUCAAAGCGUUCAUUAAAGUCGAGUUGGCUUAGGGAUACGUUCGUUGGGUAGGGGAGCGUUCUGUAAGCCUGUGAAGGUGUGUCGUGAGGCAUGCUGGAGGUAUCAGAAGUGCGAAUGCUGACAUAAGUAACGAUAAAGCGGGUGAAAAGCCCGCUCGCCGGAAGACCAAGGGUUCCUGUCCAACGUUAAUCGGGGCAGGGUGAGUCGACCCCUAAGGCGAGGCCGAAAGGCGUAGUCGAUGGGAAACGGGUUAAUAUUCCCGUACUUGGUGUUACUGCGAAGGGGGGACGGAGAAGGCUAUGUUGGCCGGGCGACGGUUGUCCCGGUUUAAGCGUGUAGGUGUGUGUUCCAGGUAAAUCCGGUUCACUUUAACACUGAGGCGUGACGACGA
rnacentral:rRNA from 1 species